rnacentral:rRNA from 1 species
CCUACGGGCGGCAGCAGUGAGGAAUAUUGGUCAAUGGGCGCUAGCCUGAACCAGCCAAGUAGCGUGAAGGAUGACUGCCCUAUGGGUUGUAAACUUCUUUUAUCUGGGAAUAAAGUGCAGUAUGUAUACUGCUUUGCAUGUACCUUAUGAUUAAGGAUCGGCUAACUCCGUCCCAGCAGCCGGGGUAAUACGGAGGAUUCGAGCGUUUUCCGGAUUUAUUGGGUUUAAGGGGAGCGUAGGCGGGUGGUUAAUUCAGUGGUGAAAGUUUGCGGCUCAACCGUAGAAUUGCAGUUGAUACUGGCAUCCUUGAGUACAGUAGAGGUAGGCGGAAUUCGUGGUGUAGCGGUGAAAUGCUUAGAUAUCACGCAGAACUCCGAUUGCGAAGGCAGCCUGCUGGACUGUAACUGACGCUGAUGCUCGAAAGUGUGGGUAUCAAACAGGAUUAGAUACCCGGGUAGUC